CCUACGGGGUGCAGCAGUGAGGAAUAUUGGUCAAUGGGCGCGAGCCUGAACCAGCCAAGUAGCGUGAAGGAUGACUGCCCUACGGGUUGUAAACUUCUUUUAUAAAGGAAUAAGGUGAGGCACUUGUGCCUUUUUGUAUGUACUUUAUGAGUAAGGAUCGGCUAACUCCGUGCCAGCAGCCGCGGUAAUACGGAGGAGCCGAGCGUUAUCCGGAUUUAUUGGGUUUAAAGUGAACGUAGAUGGGUUGUUAAGUCAGUUGUGAAAGUUUGCGGCUCAACCGUAAAACUGCAAUUGAUACUGGCAGCCUUGAGUAUAGUUGAGGUAGGCGGAAUUCGUGGUGUAGCGGUGAAAUGCUUAGAUAUCACGAAGAACUCCGAUUGCGAAGGCAGCUCACUAAAC
rnacentral:rRNA from 1 species